GAUGAACGCUGGCGGCGUGCCUAAUACAUGCAAGUCGAGCGAACGGACGAGAAGCUUGCUUCUUUGAUGUUAGCGGCGGACGGGUGAGUAACACGUGGAUAACCUACCUAUAAGACUGGGAUAACUUCGGGAAACCGGAGCUAAUACCGGAUAAUAUUUUGAACCGCAUGGUUCAAAAGUGAAAGACGGCCUUGCCGUCACUUAUAGAUGGAUCCGCGCUGCAUUAGCUAGUUGGUAAGGUAACGGCUUACCAAGGCAACGAUGCAUAGCCGACCUGAGAGGGUGAUCGGCCACACUGGAACUGAGACACGGUCCAGACUCCUACGGGAGGCAGCAGUAGGGAAUCUUCCGCAAUGGGCGAAAGCCUGACGGAGCAACGCCGCGUGAGUGAUGAAGGUCUUCGGAUCGUAAAACUCUGUUAUUAGGGAAGAACAUAUGUGUAAGUAACUGUGCACAUCUUGACGGUACCUAAUCAGAAAGCCACGGCUAACUACGUG
rnacentral:rRNA from 1 species